GCACGGGAGAGCCCCGCGCGCCUGCGCGUACGGAACAAUUCCAGGGUGGUAAAAUCCGCAAAGUAAGAACACACCCAACACCGGAGCUGGAGCCCGGAGGCCUGCGCUGGAGGACGACGGCGGGAGCACAGGAACAGAGGGAGAAACAUCAAUGCUGGAGAUCAUUUCUUCUAGAGGGCAUAAUAUCAUAAACACACCCUCUUGCUUUACCAAAGUUUCAAGUGUUUCCAAAUCAUUCAGUGAACAGCAGCCUAAGAUCUAACAAAUGCUGCAUAUUCCCAUUGAGUUAUUUUCAGGCUGAAUUGUGAGGAAAAACUGUCCAUAUCUAAAGAGAAGUGACAACCACAAACGCUCAGGAAAUCCAGGAGUCCAGGAAAUAAGGAUAUGCAGGAUGAAGCCUGGAACUAAGCAACUGCACGUCCAGACAGGAGAGAAGCUGACUACAGGCUCAUGAAGAGGAGAGAAGAAUGGGUUUCUCCAACUCCAGGGCAAGCACCACUUCUAGUCUAUGCUGCCUUUUAGUUUCUGGAUGGCCUAACACACCACUCGCCUUCCAUUUCUACUGGACAAAUGUUUCAAAUGGAAGUGAAACAUGCUAUUUCCAGGUCUAAAAACCCUUAAAACUGUAAAUUUACUACAGAGUAGCACUGAUGGAACUGGCACAAUGGCUCCCUGACUUCAAUCUCUAAAACACUAUUGAAUGCAAAAGGAAAGACGCAGCCCAUAGCACUUGUCUUCUGUCCUACACACACACACUGUAGGGUGCCCCCAGACACUAUCACAGACGCACAGCACGUGAUCACAACAGAAGAAUUAAAACCACAGAGUGGGGAUACAAAUGGACACAGACCAGUGCUGAGGUGACAUGGUGGCUCUAUGGCCUGUCAGCCUUUCAAAUUUUCUCUAAGUAAACAAAGUAAACAGGCCCGGAAUGAAGCUCACUUAACAAAGCCAUUCGGCCACUUCCUUACUACAGUGUGUCCAGGGAACACAGGCCCCCGACUGCUUAGAUCAUCACUGAACAAGCAGGGAAGGAGCACUGUCAGGAACACAUUGACACCGGUUUCCUAAAACAAGCUUGCUCUCUAAUCUGGGGAUGCACUGCCUGUGCACUCGCUGAAGGACUGGAUGUUUACACAGACACGGGUUUCUCAAAACAACCAUUCCCAGAAAGCCAGAACUGAGACAUAGCUGAUGGGCCACACUGGUGUAAAAUGUUACAUGCUAUUACCCUUCUCAAAAUUAUACUAAAGAAAAGAAAGGCACAUUCCGUGUCGUUUGCUGUCCAGGUUUGGGAGAGCUCCCUUAAGUGUGGAAUGAGGAAAACUGCAGGGGAAAGGGGAAAUGGGCAAAGGAAUUUUAAAAAGGACAAGAGCGGUCAGAAACAAAGCUCAACAUUGCUUAGCUUUUGCUUAGCUCAAAAGGACUUGCUACACCAACCCUCUCGCAUUACGAAAUUCAGGGAGAUGACAGUUCCAUCAUCUCCUUAGAUGCCAGCAAUCAUGUGCAUGUCAUAUCUGUUAACCCUUCUUUCUCAUAACACACACACGCGCGCACACACAGACACACACACGGAGAUUUAUGAAAGUAUUGACUGUUAACAUUCAGUAAGAAUACAUACACACAGACUGCUUCAAAAAAAGAAAAAAGAAUACCUGUUUUCAUGAGCUUUAAAUUCACAGAGGCACACUAGGGUAUCACAGUCAAAAAACCUUACAACUUCUUCAUCUCCAGCCACUGCAAGGACAGAGUCCUAGGGGGAAAAAAAAAAAAUGCCCAGAAUGUCCUCAGGAAUUCUCACACCUCAAAACUGCCAGCCCUGCUUUCCGGAACUCACUGAGAGAAACGUAAUGGCAGAGAUCCUCUUUCCAUUUGUGAGGGUGCCGCUCACAGACGCCGUGUCCAGAUGAUAGACAUCCACUUUAUUCAUCACAACAACUACGUACUUCUCUCCGUUUGGGGACCACUCCACUAUGUGAGCAUCUGUAAGGCAAAAAUGUUUUUAUCUUCAGCUGGAGAGAUGGCUCCGCUCUUCUGGGGAACCUGGCUUGGUGCCCAGCACCCACACGGUGGUUCACAACCAUCUGUAAUUCAAGUUCCGGGGGAUGUGAUGUCAUCUUUUGGUAUCCAAGGUUCCAAGGACCCAAGUAGUACACAAACAUACAUGUGGGCAAAACACCCAUUCACAUAAAAUAAUAAAUAUAUAAAAAUGUGUCUGCAUACAUUCAUAGUUAUUGUAAAACGUACACAUAAAAUAACAAAUAUAUAAAAAUGUAUCUGCAUACAUUCAUAGUUAUUGUAAAAAGUGCAAAAUACUCACUUUGCUUUAUAUUUUUUAUGAAAGCUGAUCUUCCCUCUACAAGAUUCCACGUUCUGCAAAACAGAAGGCUUGUGUACAGCAUGAUCAUUAUGUCACUAAGUAGGACAAAACAAGCACAACAGGCCUCCACACAGGACAAUCUCACAAUUUACUCUGUAGACAUUUGUCUGUAUUUUCCUUCCAGCAUGAUUAAAGCUCAGCCCUAAGCAUUUUAUCUCCUAAGCAUUUCCCUUCAGGGUCCCUCUCCUCCUCAACUUGCUGUGUAGACCAGGCUGGCCUCAGAUUCAGAGACCAGACUGCCUUUGGCCCCUGAACGCUGGGGUUAAAUAUGUGUACCACCUUGCCUGGCCAAUACAGACUGUUUCUACAUCAUCUUUAUGAAAUAGUUCACUGACUCUCUAUUUUGCCCUUGUUAUUACAGUAACUUAAAUGGCUGAAAAUUUCGGAACAACACGGACACAGUAUCUUGUUAUUACCAAGUAAAAAAUAUAUUAGUAAAGACGCCCUUGGGCAUUUAUAACUUACCUUAAUGUCUUAUCAGUACCAACAGACAGAGCCAACUUGCCAGACGGGUGGAUAGAAAGGAAAGUCACAUGUCCCCUAAAAGGAAACCGACAGUCAGGCCUCAGCUUGAGUGGCCUUGCAAGACUGCCCACAGGAGCACGUGGCCUCACCUGUGAGCUUUAAUGGACUUCAGGCACUCCCAUUUCUUUGCAUCCCAGACACAGAUGAGCCCAUCUUCUGCUCCACUGAUUAAGUGCCGGCUGCCAUAGAAUUUCAGGCAAGUUACUGUGCCUGUGAAAAAGCAAGAGAAGCAAAAUUAAUCCAUUUCUGACUGGAAGCUCGGGAAGAUGACUGCAGUUUGGAAGUGGCUCUGAGAAGAACACACAGACCCAUGUUCAAUCCGUAGUACCACGAAAACACAACCAACACCUUAGUACUACAGAAUCAUACCUUAAAGGUUUAGGUAAAGAAUUCAAGUUUUUCAUAUUAAAACCAACAGUUUUCAUUUGCUUUGGUGGCUCUGGGAGACUAAACUCAAGAGCCUCUGUACAUACUAAGCAGGGUAUAAUACCAGUGUAAGGCAGCAGCUUUAGGCUGGCAGAGCUGGCGCAUACCUUUAAUCCCAUGACAGGCAGAUCUCUGAGACGAGUCCAACCUGGUCUACAGGGCAAGUUCCAGAAAGCCAGGGCUUUACAGAGAACCCUGUUUCAAAAAUACAAAGUCAAAAAGAGAAUGCAGCUUUAAGUGUAUGCAGAUGUUUCAGCACGCUGAGCCAUGACUCCUACUUUCUAAGUUUGAGCCACCUAUCCAAUCACGACUAAUGGCCAGUUGUGGUUUAUGUCUGCACUCUUCUCAUUUACUGCCGUCAGAAGUUAGUAACGAUGCUAUAAAAUGUUACUGGUCCAGCUCUGUGGCUAACAAACCUUCCUUAAUCGUUUCAAUCACUUCAGAACCUUCACUUCCCAACACCAACUGAAGCCUUGUUCUCCCAAACCUUCCUCUCCCCAAUCAAAUACUAAAAGACCAAGGAGGGGUGGUGAUGGAAAACAUUACAAACUUCUGGCCACAAAGCUGUUCAAAGCCCACCUUCACCUUUGCAAUGUCAUUGAAGUCUGUAGGAACUGUACAGCAGUCACAGUUCACUCUCCAAGGACACACUGCUCCUGCAGAGCUGAGUGACCAUAACAUGGGCCAUGCACAAGGCCCACAAGGCCUCAACACUGACGAUUUGGUCCUCUGCAGAAUGUAACUGAAAAGACCUGGCCACUAUUUCCAUCUCUUCACCUCCUGUCAUCCUCUAGUAACUCUACCUCCUCAUGCCUGCUCCUUCUAUCCAGGACUCCCACCUACCCCAAGACAAGAACUUACCUAUUACUAUUUGAAAAGAACGGGACUUAUACAAGGCAGGGAGGAGAGCAGGGUCCCUACUGCACGCAUCCGUCUAAGUCCCUUCUGACUGCUGAAUGUAUAACCCUGCAUGGAGAGGUUACUCAGAGCCCAGCUUCGGCUGGAGAGCGAAGCACUUGGCAAAGAUGCUCUGCAACUCUGCUAGAAGCAAGUGUCUAUCAUUCCAGUUUAAAUCCUAGAAACCAAUAGUCGGUGCAUAACCUUAAAACAUUAAAAGGGAAGAAAGGGGCUUAUUUUAAUAUGCCUUUCUUAAUCGGAGAAGCUCUGGCGAAGCUCCUCAAGCUAAAAACAAAUUAAAUGAAUGCUGAGCUCUCCUCUGCCUUUACCUUCACCUGUUACAUGGAAAAUGCGACUAAAUAAAAACCAGUUACUCUCCUCACCCCUGCAUGUGCCUCUAUGUUGGGCAACCUUGCACAGGCAGUGUGCAGUGCCUCCUCCCUGGCCCUCUGCUCCUCUGUUCUUCACUCCGGCACACCUCAGGUCCUCUGUGGUAAGCAUGCUGCAGGUGCACUGAGACUACAGAAAAGCCUGCCUACCUCCCUGCCUGAUAGGACAGGAAAGUGACCUAAGGAUAAGGACCAACUUUUCCCUUCAUUUGUGUGGUAGUUUCAGCAACAAUGGCACCCACAGUUCAUAGGGAAAGGCACAAUUAGGAGGUGUGGCUUUGCUGGCGUAUGUGUGGCCCUGUUAAAAGAAGUGUGGCACUGGGGUGGGCUCUGAGGUUUCAAGUGCUCAAGGCAGACCCAGUGUCACUUGCUCUUCCUGCUGCCUGUCAAAUCUGGAAACCCCCAGCAACCUUUGCAACACCGUAUGUGUCAGCAUGCCACCAUGCUUCCAGCCAUGACAAGAACAGAUUGAACCUCUGAACCAUAAGCCAUUCCUAAUUAAAUGUUUUCCUUUGUAAGAAUUACUGUGAUCAUGGUAUCUCUUCACAGCAAUAGAAACCCUACAUGAGACAUGAGACAACUUCUUCUCCCAUCACACACUCUGGACACGGUAGAGACAUUCACCAAUCAGUCCCAGAUAGAACUGAAUUCAACUAUAAAGUGGUAAUACCCCCACGUAUCCUAAAGGCUAUAACUUUGGGGUGGUUUAAACAGGAAUACCUCAUCCCCCUAGUUCAUACAUUGGCAUGCUUAGUCAACAGGGAGCAGAAGUGUUUGACAAGAAUGGUGAAGAUUAGGAGGCAUGUCCCUGGGAGUGGGCUUUGAAAGGCCCCACAUCUCUGCUGCCUGCAGUUCAGCUCAGCUACAGCUCCAUUGUAGAGGGUGAAAAGUCCCCGUGCGAACACACAGCUUCUUUCCAAAGGAAGGCCUGUGGCUGCUCUCCUGGAAUGCUGGGGGAAGUGUAGUUCACAACCUGGUAAUGCUUUGCUACUUGUUGAUCCAGGCUCUGCUGUAUCCCCAUACAAUCAAGUUUGUUUAUGCCAGACUUGCCCCUCCUCCCUAAAACCUGAGCCUACUUCUAAGGCCAAAAAGUCAUCCUUGUCAGAGAUAUCACUUGUGCUUCCAACAGCCUGAGAGACCUCUAUGCUGUCUUAGAGUGAGGCCAGUGCUGGCGCCCACAGGGUGUGUUUACCUCAGUCAUUCUCCAUAGGCCCUACACUUGAGCACUGAUUCGAAGUCAACAGAACCAUCUUAUGAAGAAGCCAUCUUGACUUUGUAAAGAUCUCCAACGUAAACAUGUCUUAAGCUUUGUUGUACACAUGGGACAGAGUUAACUGGAUUUUUUUUCUGUUUUUAAGAUUUAUUUAUUUUAUGUGAAUAUCUUGUAGCUGUCUUCAAACACACCAGAAGAGGGCAUCUGAUCCCAUAACAGAUGACUGUGAGCCAACACGUGGUUGCUGGGAAUUGAACUCAGGACCUCUGGAAGAGCAGUCAGUGCUCUUAACCGCUGAGCCAUCUCUCCAGCCCCGGAAUUAACUAGUAACCAAAGACUUUUUUCAAAACUUCGGUAUGCUUAAAUAUGGCUAAAAAAAUGAACUGGUGCCAGACUCUCAAAGUUUGGCCCAGCACCAGUUGCCUAAAUCAUGUGGAACUGUGUUUCAUUAUUUCUCUCUCUCUCUCUCUCUCUCUCUCUCUCUCUCUCUCUCUCUCUCACACACACACACACACACACACACACACACACACACACACACACACACACAGAC